rnacentral:lncRNA from 13 species
AAACGAAAACUGGGGGUUGAAGUAGCUGCUAAAUGUCACCUCUAGGAAAUGGUUUGCUUUUCUCAGGAGCCUUUUUGCUUAUGCUCUGUCCAUAGAUGAUGAAUACAUCCUUGGUCAGAGGGCAAUCCAUCUUGCCGUGUCCCCUGGCCCUGCCCUGUGCUCCCUGGCAUUGCCACUGCCGCCCAGCUGGCAUUCAAUGGACAGCACACUGACAGAUCUGACGUAUAGUUUUGGCUCUUCCCACUCUGAAAGCACGGCAGUAUCUCAACGGUGGGAGAUAAGCUGUGGACACGUGGCUGUUUUACAUCUUCAUUGUGUCUAGUGACUGGAGCAAGGUUCUGAAACAUUCACUACUCUCAUCCCGUUCCCUUCUGGAGGUGAGUUGCAAGGAAUUUAGUGAAGGCAUGAGUGAGUACUGCUUUUAUGUCCUGGUGCAGUGUGCAUUCUCU